GGGUAACCUACCUAUAAGACUGGGAUAACUUCGGGAAACCGGAGCUAAUACCGGAUAACAUUUGGAACCGCAUGGUUCUAAAGUGAAAGAUGGUUUUGCUAUCACUUAUAGAUGGACCCGCGCCGUAUUAGCUAGUUGGUAAGGUAACGGCUUACCAAGGCGACGAUACGUAGCCGACCUGAGAGGGUGAUCGGCCACACUGGAACUGAGACACGGUCCAG
rnacentral:rRNA from 1 species